GCUACUCACGUUCGCCUUAGGUUUGCUCUUUAGCGACAACCUCAAACUGCAAUCCACGGCCUUGAUCUCUCGUGCUUCUAAUUUUCAAUUGUCCUCUCGACGCCACUAGAGUCCAAUCCAUACGUUGCUCUGGCCCCGGCUACUCCGCAUUUAUGAAAAUUUCUAUGGAGACGGUAAGAAAUUUGUUUGGGAGAUGGAGUGUUGGAGAAGCGACGAAGAUGCUUUAUGUGUUUAUGUGCGCUAACAUGUCGUAUCUUUUGAGGGACUAGCACGAGCAAUGGGCGCACCGAAGAAAAUCCCUAUUGAAGGUAUUUCUAGCUUUAUAUUGACUUAAUUUUGAAUGUUUGAAAGCUCUCAUUUAUGAAUUGCAUUCUUCACAUAUGAAUAAAUUGACAAUUUUCUUUUUGAUUUUUGUUUUGUAAUUAUUCUCUCAAAGCAUGAAGAUUUUUCGUUGUCAAUUGCCUAGAUCAAAUCCUUGCUACAAGUGAACCUCCUAAGCAUACUGGCACCGAUAAACUAACCAUUACUGGAGGUAAUAUACAUAAUUGUCUUUAAGCUAUCACUUUCUCAUUGCAGGGUAUUUGAUAGUAAAGAAAUUUUUUUUACACAUUGGUUUUGAUUUGCGUAAACAAAAGCUCAGAAUUGAGCUUGAAGUUGUUCUGCUAGUUUAUGAUGAAUUUUGUGCCGAGCU